rnacentral:rRNA from 1 species
AACGAACGCUGGCGGCAGGCUUAACACAUGCAAGUCGAGCGCCCCGCAAGGGGAGCGGCAGACGGGUGAGUAACGCGUGGGAAUCUACCCAUCUCUACGGAAUAACGCAUGGAAACGUGUGCUAAUACCGUAUACGUCCUUCGGGAGAAAGAUUUAUCGGAGAUGGAUGAGCCCGCGUUGGAUUAGCUAGUUGGUGGGGUAAAGGCCUACCAAGGCGACGAUCCAUAGCUGGUCUGAGAGGAUGAUCAGCCACACUGGGACUGAGACACGGCCCAGACUCCCACGGGAGGCAGCAGUGGGGAAUAUUGGACAAUGGGCGCAAGCCUGAUCCAGCCAUGCCGCGUGAGUGAUGAAGGCCCUAGGGUUGUAAAGCUCAUUCACCGGUGAAGAUAAUGACGGUAACCGGAGAAGAAGCCCCGGCUAACUUCGUGCCAGCCGCCGCGGUAAAAC